rnacentral:rRNA from 1 species
UACAGAGGUCCCAAGCGUUGUUCGGAUUCAUUGGGCGUAAAGGGUGCGUAGGCGGCGCGGUAAGUCGGGUGUGAAAUCUCGGAGCUUAACUCCGAAACUGCAUUCGAUACUGCCGUGCUUGAGGACUGGAGAGGAGACUGGAAUUUACGGUGUAGCGGUGAAAUGCGUAGAUAUCGUAAGGAAGACCAGUGGCGAAGGCGGGUCUCUGGAACGCAACUGACGCUGAGACGCGAAAGCGUGGGGAGCAAACAGG